CGACUUUGAGUUCUCUCUUCUCAUCACCGUCGAACUCCUUCUCUCCACCUUCGGCUUGCUCUUCUUCUCACCGGUGGCAUACAUCUGACUGGACUGGUGCGUUUCCGGCAACUGGAAGUGGGUCACCAGAAUUAGUUCUUCCUUCUCUGUCAUUUCGUGUUUCUCAAUCCAGGAUUGAGCGUCUGUGCGUGUACCAAAGCUUUCUAUCUUCUUCAACGUCGACCACAUGAAGAACCUGAACCGUUAUGGCUGCACUCAAGUUUGAGGGGGACAAAGUUCAAAACGUUGGAUGCUAACGGCAGUUCCAUUAGCUAUUGGGGCGUCAUAUUACACCCAAUUAGCAAGGUGCUUAUAGGAGAUGAUAUCCCUGUGCAAAAGCCAACGCACGUGGAUCGGAGCGAUGGUAUUUAUGGGUUCUGUAGAGAAGAUAGACCCUAAUUUUGAUGAGGAGGUCCCUUUUAGCUCCUCAACAAAUCCAGGGAAAGUCCAUGCUUUUCAAUCUGAGGACAACUCGUGUGCUUUCUUCCGUGAAAUUGGCCACCUCAUCCAUCUUCAAGCCAAUAGAGAUAAGACCUAUCAGGAGCAUAUACAUUGUUUUAAUUAAAGUGAAGAUCAACAUGAUUUGUCAGAAAUUUAACUGUCAUUAAUUCAGUGUUUUAAGACCUACCUGUUAUUCUCUAUAAAUUGUAUUGAAUAAUUCCAUUUU